AUCUCGGCAUUUCUUAAAAUCUGUUCCACGUCUUAGAUCACUAUUAAUCACGCAUUUACAAAUCAUUGAAAUCGGAAUAUAACUGGAACGUUACCUCCAGCCGGAAAAUUCGAAAGUUGGAGCCAAAUUUUAACUCCAGACGCGCGAAAUUUGAUCUUCAAACAUCUAACGUAUAUACACAAUACCCGUCAGUUUUUAAACCUUACACCGUAGUGUGUCCAGUUAAUCGAAUUCGCUGACAUUUUAAAAGCUAUCAGCAUAAAAAAUUCUUACUUUGGUU
rnacentral:lncRNA from 1 species